GCAGCAGCACUGCCCAUUGUGAGUAGAUAGGGGAGGAGGAGAGUCCAAGGCGGGGGAAAGGACUCUCUACUCAACAUCAUGUUUGGGGCACUACUGGUUCUCCUCUGCAGCCUCCUGCAUAGUUCAGAUCAGAAUCAUAUGGAUCAUUCAGACAGGUUAUCAGGUGCCUCCUUUCAAAGACAGGAAGUGGCACUAGGAGGAGG